GGUUGUCUCACUGGUCACCCCUUGCAAGCAUUUAAUGAAUUGUUCGACCAGUUUAACCAAACCUUAUCUGAGAACACUUGUGCCAUCCAAGCUUCUCUAUGCAACAUUGCUAGAGCUCCUUAUCGUCUAGCUGAAAAGUGUGGACCGGUAAUAGAGGAGCUUAUUGCUGCCCAGAGGUCGGCUUCUGAUCCUAACAAUAUUGGGGACACUUCACGGAGGAACAACUCAGGCAUCGAAGAGGACUUUGUCGAUCCUCACAACGAUCAACUAUUCGAGCAUGGAAACGGCGGUGUUUUCAGGACCCCAAGUUCUUGCUACAGAGAUGACGUAUUAAGGGAUGGCAACGGCCAAAACUCAUACACCACAGAUCCCGCCACAUCUAAAACUGGUGGCACUACACCUUGCACUAAACCUCAUCAAGAAGCUUGCAGGGACGACCAUGCACGUACUACUACUU